rnacentral:rRNA from 2 species
ACCAACAGGGAUUGCCCUAGUAACGGCGAGUGAAGCGGCAACAGCUCAAAUUUGAAAUCUGGCUCUCUUUGGGGGUCCGAGUUGUAAUUUGCAGAGGAUGCUUUGGCAUUGGCGGCGGUCUAAGUUCCUUGGAACAGGACAUCGCAGAGGGUGAGAAUCCCGUACGUGGGCGCCUGCCUUUGCCGUGUAAAGCUCCUUCGACGAGUCGAGUUGUUUGGGAAUGCAGCUCUAAAUGGGAGGUAAAUUUCUUCUAAAGCUAAAUACCGGCCAGAGACCGAUAGCGCACAAGUAGAGUGAUCGAAAGAUGAAAAGUACUUUGGAAAGAGAGUCAAAAAGCACGUGAAAUUGUUGAAAGGGAAGCGCUUGCAGCCAGACUUGCCCGCAGUUGCUCACCUAGGCUUUGGCCUGGGGCACUCUUCUGCGGGCAGGCCAGCAUCAGUUUGGGCGGUUGGAUAAAGGCCUCUGUCACGUAUCUUCCUUCGGGAUGACCUUAUAGGGGAGGCGUAAUGCAACCAGCCCGGACUGAGGUCCGCGCAUCUGCUAGGAUGCUGGCGUAAUGGCUGUAAGCGGCCCGUCUUGAAACACGGACCAAGGAGUCUAACAUCUAUGCGAGUGUUUGGGUGUCAAGCCCGGGCGCGCAAUGAAAGUGAACGGAGGUGGGAACCCUUUGGGUGCACCAUCGACCGAUCCUGAUGUCUUCGGAUGGAUUUGAGUAAGAGCAUAGCUGUUGGGACCCGAAAGAUGGUGAACUAUGCUUGAAUAGGGUGAAGCCAGAGGAAACUCUGGUGGAGGCUCGCAGCGGUUCUGACGUGCAAAUCGAUCGUCAAAUUUGGGCAUAGGGGCGAAAGACUAAUCGAACCAUCUAGUAGCUGGUUCCUGCCG